rnacentral:rRNA from 1 species
GAUGAACGCUGGCGGCGUGCCUAAUACAUGCAAGUCGAGCGAACGUACGAGAAGCUUUCUUCCCUGAUUUUAGCGGCGGACGGGGGAGUAACACGUUGAUACCCUACCUUUAAGACUGGGAUAACUUCGGGAAACCGGAGCUAAUACCGGAUGAUAUUUUUAACCGCAUGUUUCAAAAGUCAAAGACUGUCUUGCUGUCACUUCUAGAUGGUUCCGCGCUGCAUUAGCUAGUUGGUAAUGUAACGGCUUACCAAGGCAACGAUGCAUAGCCGACCUGAGAGGAUGAUCGGAAACACAGGAACUGAGACAAGGUCAAAACGACGACGGGAGGAAGCAGUAGGGAAUCUGCCGCAAUGGGCGAAAGCCUGACGGAGAAACGCCGCGUGAGUGAUGAAGGUCUUAGGAUAGUAAAACGCUGUUAUUAGGGAAGAACAUAUGUGUAAGUAACUGUGCACAACUUGACGGUACCGAAUCAGAAAGACAAGGCUAAAUACGAG